ACUCCACCAAUAGCUUUAAACCUCCUUAGUGAGCACUUGUAUGGAAUAGAUUGCAAAACUAACGGUGAAAACUCAAGAUUUGGUGAAGAAAAUCAAAGGGAAAUAAAUGGAGUUUCUCUCUUGUUCUCCCUCUCAAAAAUGGUUCGGCCAAGCUAGAGAAAAGAAUGAAGAAAUUCAACCCAAAAGCAAGAUAAGAACGUUGAAAAACAGCCGGUCAAACCUGGCUGUUGAGGUGCCACGUCACAAUCCAGCCAAGAUUUGUACGAAUUUUCGGCCGGAUUCCAGGCCGGAUUGAGGACAGUGGCGAAAUUCAUAAUUUUUCAAAAUUCACCAACAAUCCGG
rnacentral:lncRNA from 1 species